CAAUACCCAGAGCUCGGCUCCCCUAAAGCCUCAUAAGUGCUGAGGCAAAGAGAGGAGGGGGAGAUGGAGGAUAAAGAGCGAGGGAGGGGCGAAAAACAAAUGACCACAGCCCACAGUGACACCUUCUCUACAUGUGACAUCUGCUGUCUGCUGACCUACAACCAGCGUGUCUGGGGCUCACGUGCCGGCUGCAGUCCAGCCAGCUGAAAGGCACAUAUCUCUGCUGUUUGUGGGCUUCAGGUUUUAUGGCUCUGAAGUCUGAGGUAACUUUCAGCAGCCUAAACGGAUAAAGAAACCCGUUCCCUCGUCCUAAACUGAUAAAGAGGUGGGCACGUCUCUGUUCAGCAUCAGACAUAAACCAGGAGCAUCUAUCUAAUCACUUAUCUGAUGAGCUCAUAUCCUUUCAGACACACACAGUCAUACACACACACACACAUGGUUACCUACCUAUUUAAAUGACAUACACCUACUGUUUAAUAAAAAUUAUAAAAAUGGAUACUAAAAUUAAAAUGUAAUGAUGGCAAAAUAUCAAACUGCAUGUAUUUAUGAGGUAUAAAUGUAAUUUAAGUUAAUGUAUAAAAUAAUAAUAAAAUCAAAUGUUAAAAUAUUGUAUCUGUGCUAAACAUGCAGUGUUAAAGCACCCUACUGAACUGAUACUAUGAAAUUAUAAUAAUAAUCAAAUAAACAACAAUCAAAAAUUAAUAAUCAAACAUUAAUUUUUAAACUGAUCAACCAAUCACUGUUAUGACAUUUAAUUUUAAAAUAAAAACUUUAAAAUAAAAGAGUGUGUUCAAUAGCAUGUAAGUUUUUGCUGUGGUUUGUGAAACAAGUAUUGUGAAAUUUCACUACUUAAAUUUUAUUGUGAAAACCCUUCUCCAAAUAUAAACCUCUUUUUUUUUUAUAUAAGAAACUUUUUUUUUUUUUUUUUGAAUUUUAUGGUUAAAAAUAAAACAAUUUUAUUUUUUUCACAAAUAUCUAUUUUAUUCAUUUAUUCAUUUUAUCUGUGAGGACUACAUAAAGAGGGUUUUUUUUAGAUGUAGUUAAUUUCUUCCAGUCAAUUUUGUUCCUAAAGAACAGCUUACUAAACUCAGACACACACAUGCACACACACAAGCACACACUGACCCAGUGCACUGCCCUCUGGUGGCUGGAUUAUGACCUGAUGGCCUAGAAGACAAACCUCAGAAAGACACAUGGUUUCAAGUGAGACAUAAUGAGCCUAAAUAUAAGAUAAGUUUGGGAGGAAGUAGAAUGUCUGAAGAUCAAGCGAGCUAUUAAAAGCUACAGGUUACAGGAUACCGUCUGAACGCGUGGGUCAUGGGAGAAUACAGAAUGACCUGAGAGAAUGAGAGCACAAGACUGAAAGCUCAGAGAUAUCAAACCAAACAGACCUUUUAUUCUAUACCUCUAGCUGUAGAAUAUGCUCUUUAAAACAGAGAUGUGAGACCAUAAAACCCAGCGCUGAGGAAACACAAAGAAUAAGAGAACAGAGAUUUUCUCCAGAACAAAGAGCAGUGGGCACAUGAAAGACCUACAUCAAACUGUACUGUUAUUCUUUAUAGGGCUUUAGUGGGGCCUUUUAUCCCAAGGCAUGUCCGACUACACAGGGUCUUCACUGCCAGGUUGUGACCUUGCAUUAGAGGCAGGGGGUUCAAAGAGAGUAGGCAAAAAAGGAGGUGGAAGCAACCCAGAAGAACUACACACAAAAGCUCACUGUGGCAUCGGUGACCUGCUUUAGCUUGCUUGGCCUGUAGAUGGCUGUCUAGUCAAAAAUGCAGGAUGCAUCUUCUGAAUGAAGAAGCACUAGUCAAGCUGACAUCCUUCAAGCUUUGGGCGCUAGUCUCGUGUCCUUGUCGCCACAGUGGAUCAUAACCUUCUUCUCACUUCUCUCCUGGUGCUCGUUUCCUCGCUAAGUGCAACUUCUGCCCGAGCGAGGGUGCCUGAGCUAUCUGUCAAGAGCAAAUGACAAUCUUUUUUGUCAUUCACAGCCAGCGUUCUCGCAUGCAAAAGGCCCCGAAGGAAAGCAAACACUCCCUGCUGCUUUCUCUCCUUGCCUCUUUUCCUUUCCCUCUCUCUCCUCCGAUCAUCUCUUCUGGGCUGAACAUCGGCGCCCCAGUGCAGGCAUUGUCACAUCAAACAGUCGUGCCCGUGACAAGGGUGUUUAAAAAAAGCCUGGCUAUUUACACACAUAGGCUGCAGCUCCAGGCUCUCAGCCAAGUAUAAAUCUCCCACAAGAUGUAGUUACUCGCCCAAAGUCAUGGGGCCGUCCAUCAGCCUCUGACUCUUUUUCUCCCUCAGUACAAGAACGGCUGUCAGGAGGGCUGGGGUCCUUCAGCACAGGUGCCCACACAGCUGCCUGAAAGCAUAGCUGCUGCUGCUGCUGCGCCAGACGCACAUGCAAACUGCAGAACACGCGUCUGCCACGCUCUGAACGGCGAGCCGAGCACUCCACCUUCAUCUGCUUGUAGAGAUUCCUAAAAACACUAGCAGCCAAUAAAACAACUAUUUAGCCAGGCAUCAUGUGGCAAAACUGGUAAGAAUCGCACUCACACAAUGUCUAUGGGUUGAACGAUUAAUAGAAAUAAAACCGAAAUCCUGAUAUGAAUUAGUGUGAUUUAAUUAAAGACCCCCUGUGGUGAAAAUCAAGUUUUUAAUGUUGUUUAUAUGUCUAUCUGGUGUUUUUAACAUGCUUUAAGACAAACCAUGUGCAAAUUCAUAAGUCAACACCAUUGCUGAGUAUUUUCUCUUUAAAACUGCAGUAAAAUAAAGACAGUCUCAAACCUAAUCACUGGUGUUUCUGACAUCACAAACUACCUUGUAACCAAUCACGUCAACAUGCCGGCAGGCUUUAGCAUAUCAUUAACUGACCGUGCAAGGGAGUCUCAAAAGAAGGUUAUCACGGUAUAUUUUUCUGUUGAUAUGGAAAAUUGUGUACAUUUAGCAAUAUGGCGGGUGUAUGAUGCAUAUUACGAUGUUAUGAUGAACUAUAUGCUUUUCUCCACUGACAUUAAGGUGCUCAAAGCGUUUGUAAGGAUACUGAUUGUUAGAAGACAGCUGUCUGACUCGUGAAUGUGAACAUGGUUUGUGUAACAUUAGCAACACAUAAUUAGCUGUUUGAUAACGUAGUCAAGCAAAACGCUAAUUAUAUUAAUUACCGUUAUGUGUCCGAAGCGAUAAUUGUGUAGCGUUUACCUCAUUAAGUUGACCAAGUGGAUCUGGUCUGAGCUGGUGUGAGCGAGUGGAGGCGGGGCUAAUUAUCAUAUUCAUAGAUCCGUGUAUAUUACAUGAGGCAAGGGUGUAGAGAUACAUUCAAGCUAUUUUAAGGCAUUAAGAAUUUUUUUUUUCCACAGGAAAAAAACGUUUAAAUAUGUAAUUUUGAUGAUCAAAGAUGAAUUUUAAGGGAUACGAUUAUUGACUACAGGGGGACUUUAAAUAAAUAUAUACACCAGGGUUAUUAUUUUUAACAAAACCGUAAAAAAUGUUCAUUACUUAAAAUAAAAUAAACAUUAACUGAAACUUAAACUUAUUUUAUUUCAGCUAUUUGCAAAGACACAAUGUACAAGUUGAUGUAUUAAAAUAACUAAAACUAAAAACUAUGUAGACAUUUAAAAAUGACAAAAAAAUGACAGACAACAAUUAUCUAAAAUUAAAACUGAAUACAUAAAAUUAAAUCUAAUUUGAAAUAUUAAUAAAUAGUAUAAUAGUAUUUCAAUGAUACUUAAAUAACACUGAUGUACACUGCACAUUUUACAGUGAAACGUGGCAAUUUGUUCAUUUAUACGCAAAAAGCCCAUGAUAAGUGUUUUUCAGCCAAAAAAAAGUUUCAUAGUUUAACAUUUGAAAAUAAAUGAAUCAAGACGAAAAUUUUAGUAUUGUAAUUUUUACUUGUUGUACAGUAAAAUAGCAUUAUUAUUCAUUUUAUUGUAUGCUUGAUUUUUUUAUUUUACAGUGAAAUAUUAUUAUUACAAUAGUAGUGUAUAUAUGUAUAUGUAAUAAAAAUCAUAACAAUUAUAAUUAUUAUUAUUAUAUAAAUCACAAUAUGACUUUUUUGGCCAAAUCUCAUUUUAAACUGCAAUCGCUAUUUAAAAAAAAAAAAAAAAAAAAAAAAAAUUAAACAGACUUUUUUCUUAGUUCACAAAACGUUCAGACCUACUUAUGUCUAAUCUUCAAGUGUUUAAAGACUGAAUAAUAAACAUCCGCUAUCUUUCUUUAAACCAUUUCCCGCAGUUCAAGGGUUAACAAGGUUCCCUCGGCUUCAAGCAAGUACACAAAUCAAACACGGUUAUAAAUAUUUGUACGUUCUCAAUCUGCUGCCAUGUCUUAUUUGGGGCUUUCUGUCGUAAAGCAUGCCCUCGGUGCUCUAAAAUGGAGCGGAUGUUAUUCCAUAAAUAUUUACAAUCCAUACGUAAACUAUGCCGAUCCAUCAGUCGUGUUGCGUUUAAAAAAAAGUGAUGAGCUGGUAAGAGGUAAAUAGUUAAAGUAUUUUUAGGUGAGUUGGGGGUUGUAUUCCCCACAGAGGAUCUGAUGAUGGGAAGCAUUGUGUUCAUUUUGUUUAUCAAGCAGCUCUACGGGCCUCUAGUGGGGCUCGUCUGCUUACACAAGCAAAAGCUUUCAGAGGCAUCUGCAGCUGCAAGCCCACUGUACAGGUACCCUGCAGACUGCAUGUGCGCACACACACACAGCUGCCCCAGCAACCCUACGUAGCUCUGCAGGUGCACCUGUGCCGCCGUGGCUACCAGCACCCAGAUUUACGUCUUUGGUUUUACGUCUAGCCCUUCAAAAUCUCUCGACCAAUUGUGACGAUUGUCACCAAAUGCCGGUCCACACUAAACGGGUUUCCAUCCAUCCAUUUUUUUACACAAAUUUUGGGAUAUUGCAUGGAUGGAAACAUGAGAAUACAAUUUCCACAGUGCACCAAAAAACUACAACAAUAAUACAUUAACAAUAAUAAAUGCCUUAUUUACAUAAAAAAGUCAAGUGACUGUGUUAUGUGUACAGUAACUGGGUUUAUAUUAAAUUUAGUGGGAUAUUGCAUAAAAGCACAUAAAAAUCACAUUAACUUCCUUCAUGCGCAUCAAAACAUUCACAUGAUUUUGCCUCAAGUCAUAUUACUGAAGAAUUCACUCAGAUUACUACUACUACUACUACUACUACUACUACUAUUUUUCUAACCAUGCAUAAAGUGCUUGUGUGAGGGUUUUUAUCAUUUAUAACUUCUGGAGAGAAAUAGUAAAGACACUAGAGAAGUAUGAAAAGUGUUGACCGUUUUUUUUUUUUUGUGAAUGCUAUCAAAUAGAAUAUUGAAAGGUUUUGCGUUUGGCCGUACUCAUGCUAAGCGCUCGGGUCAAAACUGAAGGAUACUUUGGGCUUUGGUAAUAAGGCGUCUGCCACCAAUCGCUAAUAAAGUUUUUUUUUUUAGUUUAUAUAACUCCUGACCAAAUUAUAUAAAUAAAGUCUAAUGAAUAAAAGAGUUUUUUUCUAUGUACUCUAAAUCUGUUACUUUUAAUUAAAGGCACACUAUGUAAAUUUUCGCCGCUAGAGGUUGCUUAUUCAAAACAAAGGCGUAGCUUUGAUGAUGCCUUGAUUUCGCGGAAUCACGGGAGGUGUUGUCUUCACGUCUACAGCCGGUGGAAAAAAAUCGGGCCGGGACUCGGGCAGAAAUCAUGUUCAUGGAUGAGAUUAUUAACGUUACUGUAGUAUGAAGCAGAGCAGGGCUGAGUGAUGUGGGAGCUGAACGAGGCCGCUGGAGCGAUUGAUAAUGAGAGACGAGCAUGACACACGUCUCAAGAGUAGCAGACCUUUUAUUAUGCCGCAGUCGCCGCUUCUUCAAGCGAAUGUGGGGUAAAGCAGCGCUGUUUUUCAUAUUAGAUACAUUUGUGUUUUGAAAGUUGUUACUUUGCGUUCGCUCUGCAGCUACUAUGAGACACUAAAUGCACAUUGCAGUAAGCUAGAUCGAUAUUGGACAUGGUAAAACAUGGUACUCGCUGUAAAUCAAGAAAACAAGAUUUAAACAAUAAGACUUAGUGUGUUGAGCUAUAUAACACGAUUAGUUUUCUGUUGAUAAAUGUAUCCAUCCAAACAGUUGCUCACCUGUCUAAUAAAACAUGUAAUAUAUUAAAGCGUCUUUGGUGUUUCCAUGGUUUGUACAAAAUAAAACCGGAAACCGACGCACGGACACGGUCCGUGUCCUGGUUAAAAUAGCUUAUUUCUCCGGAUUUAAACGUUCUUGGAAACAUUUGGGAUAAUGUAAGUACACAAGUCAACAAAAUAUAUGAAAUUGUUCUAGUGUUUUUUGCAUAUUUGAAUCCAACAAUCUUACAUAUUGUGCCUUUAAACUGCCAUAGUGAUCACAAAUUCAAUUUGCAAUUUCAUUACAUAGGUACUGACACACAAGUUCAUCUGUUGCGAGAGUGAUUUUGAAGAGAAUUCAGCCUUUCUUACAAGAGCAGAGUUCUAUAUUCCCGGCGUGCACAGUCACUGCUCUACCCUGCGCUGAAUUGAGCUGCUUUGAGUUAUGAGUCACACAAGUGCACCUGCGGCCAUGUGUUAAGUACUGACAAAUAAAAGCUCUAUGUCCAUUUACACAACAAAGAGAUGUACCCCACGAGGCCACCAAUCUUUCCUCAACCCCCUUACCACCCCACCUCUCUGUCUUUUUCGGUCUUCCCUUGUUUUUUCCUUUGGCAUUAGUAGUGAAAAGUAUCUCGCUCCCCGUUUCCCCCGAGUCCCAUAUCAACUGGAGCAACUCUGUUCCAGACAAGCUACGAUUCAAACACAAAUUUAAAGACAAAAGUGCGUUGCGCAACUUUUUAUUCAUGUCUCGUAGAAGAGUCGCGCUUGAUUUCUCGCCUGCGUUGCGUGCGAUUAUUGAGAGCUCACGAAGACUAAUCCUGCUGCCACGCGGCCCUCAAUGGCCUUGUUUUGUUCUACAGGAGGAAUCCGAAUCCUGCUGUAUUAACGUGAGGGGAUCUCUGUGCUAAAGCCAUGGCACCCAUUCACUGCAGCCAGCACUGUGGUUUGAGGGCAAAUCUAAAAGGAGGCUUUCACUAUCUGCCCUCCGUUUUCUUACAAUUUAUGCAUAUAGAAAGGGUGGGAGGGAGUUGGGCGAAUGGGGGUCACAGGCGGAGUCAAGCUGUGCUCCACACUUCCUCUGAAUCCUAAUGUCUGGUGCUCCACCGGGAUUAUCGCCCAUGGAAAUUUUCCCCCAAUUCCACAUUAUUAAUCUCUGUCUGUCCUCCUGUUCUGGCUACAUAAUGACUAAUUAAACAUCAAAAGAGCUGUGGCGGGGAUGCGGCAUGACAGCUCGUGUCCCUGAGCCCUUGUUCCCGCGGGAGAGGGGAGGAGAGGGAGGUGAGCGCUGAUGGGGCGGCCUCACAAAUCAAUCAACCAUCGUUACCGCGCACCUACACCCGCCGUGCUCCAAACGGUGGAUUCGCAAACACAACAGAGCUGAUUUGUGAGGCAGGUUUGGCCUCCCGUGUACAUGCGCUCGACAUACGCACAGGUACGUGCUGCCACCAUGUCAGAGGACGACUUUGAUAAGACGAAAUUCAAAAAUGUGUGUGCCGCUGUACCAACGGUUUUCAUUAAACUCUUCUGUUGUGUC